GAUGAACGCUAGCGGCAGGCUUAAUACAUGCAAGUCGAGGGGCAGCAUGGUGUAGCAAUACACUGAUGGCGACCGGCAAACGGGUGCGGAACACGUACGCAACUUACCCAAAACUGGGGAAUAGCCCGGGGAAACCCGGAUUAAUACCUCGUAAGAUAAUUGAAUGGCAUCAUUUGAUUAUUAUAGCUCCGGCGGUUUUGGAUGGGCGUGCGCCUGAUUAGGUAGUUGGCGGGGUAACGGCCCACCAAGCCUACGAUCAGUAACUGGUGUGAGAGCACGACCAGUCACACGGGCACUGAGACACGGGCCCGACUCCUACGGGAGGCAGCAGUAAGGAAUAUUGGUCAAUGGACGCAAGUCUGAACCAGCCAUGCCGCGUGAAGGGUGAAGGUCCUCUGGAUUGUAAACUUCUUUUAUAUGGGAAGAAAUCCAUCUUUUCUUGGGUGGUUGACGGUACCAUAGGAAUAAGCACCGGCUAACUCCGUGCCAGCAGCCGCGGUAACAC
rnacentral:rRNA from 1 species